AUAAUGAUACUCCCGCAUAGUCGAGGUUCAUUCCCAGAGUGCGGUUCGGUGAAAUGGAUGGUGGAAUUCCAGUGA
rfam:Catabacter hongkongensis strain HKT16 2806ref_2ab_c20, whole genome shotgun sequence.